GCGCCCGUGGCUCAGCUGGAUAGAGCAUUCGGCUACGAACCGAAAGGUCGCACGUUCGAAUCGUGCCGGGCGCACCA
rnacentral:tRNA from 3 species